ensembl:lncRNA
GCGUGUAACAGGGCUGUUCAAAAUGCAAUGACCUUAUAUGAAGAGAUUGGGACACAGUUGAGUUGUGAAAAAAAAUCAUCUUUUAGUUUAGCAUUCUUUUUACAUGAAUCUCUACAAAGUCAUUCAGGCAUAACAAACAUUCGCAGGACUAUAUCAUCAUAGGGCCAUGUGUACGGCUGCAGCAGGUGUGUGUGUGUGUGUGUGUGUGUGUGUGUGUGUGUGUGUGUGUGUGUGCCAUGUGUACAGCUGGAGCCAAUGAGAUCAGAGCAGACACAGAAGACGACAGCAGCCCCGCGGUCACAGGUCUUAUGGCAUAUAACAUAUACAUCUGCAGGGGAAUAUAUAUAUAUAGGGUUGAAUAAUCUCUGUUGAAUAAGACUCUAUGGGCCCAUUCACGUAAAGGAAACAAUAAGGGACAAUAUCCAGGCAUCUGAGCCCACGAAACGGAGUGAUAAAAGACAAUGAUGUUUCUGUGGCGCCAUGUUUUGUAGGCCAGGUUUAACCGGGAAAGUGAAGUCACCUAAGCUGAGAUAAAUACAAGCAUUCCAAUGCUGCAAAGUCACAUCACUCAUCACAACGCACAACCCCCCCCCCCCCCCGUUAGCUGUCCUUUCUCCAGUUCCCCCACAGACACACUGCGCCACGCUGGUGGGUGUUGGCGGGCGGAGGAGGAGGAGGAGGAGGUGGAGGAGGAGGAGGAGGAGCUGGAGCUGGAGCUGGGCAGAGUUCCCUGCUGUGGUACGCACGCGUGCAUGAUUGAUCAGCCCUAUCAGGCGUGGCAUCUUAAUGAGUUCCUUAGCAGAAUGAUUUAUUUAUAUCUGGGAGGAGAGAUAGACAGAGGGAGAGAGAGAGAGAGAGAGAGAGAGAGAAGGGCUUUGCUGAUGCCAGGACGCCUUUGGCACUCUUUCGGGUUUCUCCUCCUCGCCGUCCUCCCCCUUAGCCCAUCAUCAUCUCCUCCUCCUCCUCCUCCUCCUCCUCUUCUUCUUCUUUCAUCCUCUCUCCCCCUCCCUCCCUCCCUGGGCACUAGUGUGCUUUGGGCGUGGCGAAGUCCCAGGCGGUGUCCUGGGCGCACUUGACCAUGGCGCGCACCAGCCGCGUGAAGCCCAUGUCUUUGGGUUUCUCCAGCCCGCGCAUCAGCCUCUGCUUCAUGAUGGCGAUGAACUCCUUAUUGCUCAGCUCCCCGUUG